rnacentral:lncRNA from 1 species
CUUUCUACUGGUUAUAAGACAGAAGUAAGUACCGACUCAAUCUUUGUUUACAAAGUUACAACAGUCUGUAACAGACUGAAUCUGUAUGACAUGUGAAUAAGUUAUCGAUAUCGAUGCUGGGUUUAAUACAACGGUUUGAGAGAGUGCCGCCGAUUUAUUGGGGUAUCAGGUCUGUUCGCGCCCAAUAUACUUUGGCACCCUAAACGUUCGCACCUCGCACGUUCGCACCCAAGGUCCGUUCGCACUCUACAGGUUCGCGCCCAAUUUUAAUUCAAAUUCGAGUUGAAUAAUUGGAAAAUCAUGAUUGUUGUUUUUAAUUGCUUUCGUGUAAAUACUGAAUGUAUUUAUAGCUUGGUAUGAGUAAAAGAUUGAAGAUUUUAAAUGAAAAACACAAAAGAUAAUUGUUUUUAACAGCUUGGUCCCUUUGAUCUGAAAUAAUGAAACAAUACACUAUUAUAUAUUACUAUACAUUAUAAAAUUUAAUCAACACACAAAAAAAAAAAAAAAAAAACGUAGUCAGAAUCUCACUUCAUUUUGAAACAAGUCAAUGAAACAAAAGUUAUAGCAAUACACUAACCAAAACAUGAUAAACAGUUAUUCAACACAAAAUAAAACGUUGACAGAAUCCCACUUUAUUUAGAAAGGAAUAUAAUUUUUUUUAACAAUACACUAUCCAAAACAUGAUUAAGAUUUAUUCAACACAAAAAAAAAUGCUGUCUUACUUUAUUUUGAGACCAUGAAAACAAUUAUACUUAUAAGAAUACUACUUGCCAAAACUUGAUUACAAAGUUAUUAAACACAAAACCAAUUAAAAUUGGGCGCGAACAUGUAGGGGGCGAACGGACCUGGAUUCAUUUAUUGGCGGGG